AUCCCCUCUCUAACCCUAAAUCAAAGAAUUAGAAUGGAAUUCAAGGCUAGAUCUUGUGCAUGGACCUAAAUACAAGAUCACCUAGCCCUAACAAAUACAUGGAUAAAUAACAUGUCUACGGACUCAAGCACGGAGGCUAGCGGGUCAAAAGUAAGCAUGGAACCUAUGCUUGAACUUGGUCGCUCAAGGAAUUGUACGGGUCUCUAUCUCUGUGACUAAUAUAACCAAGUGGGCGUAGAUCGAGUCAAGUGCAAGGAUUGUACGGAAAGAACGGUUACGUACU
rnacentral:lncRNA from 1 species